rnacentral:tRNA from 1 species
GCGGGAUUAAUAUAGUGGUAGUAUAUUACCUUCCCAAGGUAAAUGUGCCAGUUCGAUUCUGGUAUCCCGCUCCA